rnacentral:rRNA from 1 species
AUGAGCUAUGCGAGUAACAAAAAAUCUCCAAGCAAACAAGUUGGCAUCUAUAUGGAUGUGAGCGACAAGAGGAAAAGAAACCGGUUGGAGCGGUAUGAUCGCAAGGCUCGUAUGGGUGUUAACCUCAAAGACGGUAGCUGGGUUGUGACAGUUUUUGAGGCCGAUCACACACACCAGCUGAUGUUGCAAAGGGGGCGUCGGAGAUUUUUCCGCUCUCACAGAAAGAUCCCAGAUGCAGACAUGCAAUACAUCACUUCACUACACUAUCGCAACAUAUCAACGGCUAAUAUGAUGGGCUUGCUUGGAGAUGCACGGUGUUGUGAUCCGAGGAGUUUGCCGUAUGUGAAGUCUGAUGUGACAAAUGCAAGAGCAAAGCUGCGAAGGGGCCUGUCAGAGCGUGACUUGGAGCUAACAAUCGAGUACUUUGAGAGAAGACAAGUGGAGAAUCCCAACUUCUUUUUCUCGAAGCUACAAGAAGAUGGAGCUGUUAGGGCGCUUUUCUGGGUUGAUGGGAGAACAAGGGCCCUGUAUCCAAAGUACAAAGAUUGUGUGUUUUUCGACACCACAUUCUGCACAAAUCGCUAUAACUUGCCCUUUGCUCCGAUUAUUGGCAUUAACAACCACACACACACUGUUUGCUUGGGGUGUGCUUUGUUGCCUGAUGAGACCAUUGAAACUUUCAAGUGGGUCUUCUAG